rnacentral:rRNA from 1 species
AUUGAACGCUGGCGGCAGGCCUAACACAUGCAAGUCGAGCGGAUGAAGGGAGCUUGCUCCUGGAUUCAGCGGCGGACGGGUGAGUAAUGCCUAGGAAUCUGCCUGGCAGUGGGGGAUAACGUCCGGAAACGGGCGCUAAUACCGCAUACGUCCUGAGGGAGAAAGUGGGGGAUCUUCGGACCUCACGCUAUCAGAUGAGCCUAGGUCGGAUUAGCUAGUUGGUGGGGUAAAGGCCUACCAAGGCGACGAUCCGUAACUGGUCUGAGAGGAUGAUCAGUCACACUGGAACUGAGACACGGUCCAGACUCCUACGGGAGGCAGCAGUGGGGAAUAUUGGACAAUGGGCGCAAGCCUGAUCCAGCCAUGCCGCGUGUGUGAAGAAGGUCUUCGGAUUGUAAAGCACUUUAAGUUGGGAGGAAGGGCAGUAAGUUAAUACCUUGCUGUUUUGACGUUACCAACAGAAUAGGCACCGGCUAACUUCGUG